rnacentral:rRNA from 1 species
GGGACGAACGCUGGCGGCGUGCUUAACACAUGCAAGUCGAGCGGUAAGGCCUUUCGGGGUACACGAGCGGCGAACGGGUGAGUAACACGUGGGUGAUCUGCCCUGCACUCUGGGAUAAGCCUGGGAAACUGGGUCUAAUACCGGAUAUGACCUGCUCUCGCAGUGGGGGUGGUAGGAAAGUAUUUAUCGGUGCAGGAGUGGGCCCGCGGCCUAUCGAGUCUUGGUUGGGUGGGUAAUGGCCUACCGAGGGCGACGACGGUAGCCGACCUGAGAGGGUGACCGGCAACGACGUAGGGACUGAGACCACGGCCCAGACCUCCGACGGGAGCGAGCAGGU